rnacentral:lncRNA from 1 species
GCCCGCGGGCCCGGCGGCGGCCCGGCGCCCGCCUCCGCUUCUCCUCAUGAGGCGGAGGCGGGACGGGGCGCCGGGGGCUGCCGGCGGCCGCCGCUCCUCAGUCCUUCGCAGAUCGUUCUGUGCUCAUACCUGCUUUUCCAGGAGGUAA